UACCCUUUCUACAUAAUGAAGAAUUCACUUAAAAAGCAAAACCCUAUAUUUUGAAGAGUAAUUUUUGAAAAAAAAAGAUCACUGGCAGUCAAAGUUAUUUGCCCAGGUGUUUUGUAAACGUGAUUUGGCAUCCGAACACUGGCCGUGACUCAGAGAGGAACUCGCAGCUUGAAACUGGGCUUUUCGAAUCCUGCACUUCUGCAUAGGGCAGCUCACAUUCUACUGAACAGCACUGCAGAGAGAACCACCUGUCUCUGGGCAGAAGUGACCAAGAUGAGCUACUGGGAUGCGGGAAGAAGACACAGAUAAGAGCUCAGACUGCAGAACACCUUCCUUUCAGCUCUGCAAUCAGUGAUGCCUCCUGAAGCCCACUGGCUGGCGGUGAUGCAGGGGUAUUAUACGUCACUGUGAUUGAGGAGAGGCCACUGGAUGCAGCCAGCUCAGACUCCAUUUUGGAUUUCCUCACUUUCUAUAUAAAUUUGGGCAAGUUAGCUUCUCUGUUUUAGUUUCUUCAUGGUAUUUUUCAGAAUAUCCAACUUUGUGUGAAGAAUGAGAAAAGUAUGUGGGUGAAGGAAACACAUCCGAGCUAACCACAGAUCUCAAGUGGGCAAGCGUCUUGCACAAGCUCUGUAAUUCUACUACAUUUCCCCAGUCGAGUCACUAGGGCAAUGAAUUUAUACCUCUUCUUCCCCCCUCUAACAUCUAACAUUCAUCAUUUCUCAAUUAAUGAUUUUGCUUCUUAUUUCACGGAGGAAAAUAAAGUAAGAACAGAGAACUACCACCCUCUACCAUCAGAUCCUCCCCACCUCAGAUCUUUCAUUUUGAUUCAGAUGUUCUGCCUUCCCUUUGGUUUCAAGGCUGACUCUGCCUGGGUAUUGGAUCCACCCCUCAUUUACUUAAGGGCAUUGUUUCAGCAAUUCUUCCCCAUUUCCCUGGGGGAGACACCAAAUUCUUCUUCUCUACUGAAUCAUUCCCUUCAACAUCAAAUAUGCUAAAAUAUCUCCAUCUGAAAAAAACUGCUUUCCUCAGCUCCACAUUCCUCUCUAGCUGUUCCUUGUAUUUCUGCCUAUCAUUCUAGUGAGAGUGUUCUAAAGAUUAUCUGUGUUGAUGUUUUCAUUUUUUUUUCUUACCACCCAUUCACUUUUGAUUCAUUUUAGUCAGCUUAUCUUCUCUCUUUCCCUUGACACUUUUGAUGUGAAGGUCACCAGUGACCACCAUCUUUUUAAAUUCAAUGCCAGUUCUCUGUUUUCUUCUUAUUCAAUAUCUCAGGAGCAGUUGACAGUUGAUUUUUUCUUUCUCUUGAAAUGCUUUCCUCACUUGAUCGUCAUGAUAUCAUUCUCCACUAGUAUUCUACCUGCCUUCAGCUAAGGCAGGAGAACACGGAGACGCCCCACUCUCCUUUUCUUUCAGUUGUCUCCAACUGCCACCACUCUCUACCUCCUCCGAUAUACCACCUACAGGAGGAUGACUCUUGAAUAAGAGUCUUUAUCCUUGACUUCUUUUCAGAGCUCCGUAUUCAUAUAUCCAACUACGUACUAGAUAUUUUACGUACAUUUGUAUGACCAAUGGGAAUCUCAAAUUGAACAUACACAAGACAGAAUUCUUUAUUCUCAUAUCCUUAUAACCUCUCCUCCCAACCAAUCUCUUCCCCAGUCUUCUCUCUCUCUUUUUUAAAGAUUUUAUUUUAUUUAUUUGACAGAGAGAGAGAGAGAGUGAGAGAAUACACAAGCAAGAGAAGUGGGAGAGGGAGAAGCGGGCUCCCUGCUGAACAAGGAGCCCAAUGAGGGGCUUGAUCUCAGGACUCUAGGAUCAUGACCUGAGCCGAAGGCAGACACAACCGACUGAUCCACCCAGGCGCCCCUUCUCUCUCCUUGUUCAGAACAAAAACUAGACAUAACCUAAAUUGUUUCUUUCUCUGCCAUGUCAACCAGUUGACUGGAAAAUCCUGUUCAUUUUCAAAAUAUCUCCUGAAUCUCACUACUUCUCACCACCUCCAUCAAGGCCACCAAAGUCUACUGCACUAUUCUCUCUAGCCUGGACUCCUACUGGCCUCUUAACUGGUCUCCUUUGCCACUUUUGUCUUCCUGCAGUCUCUUUCUCAUACUGUAGCUAGUAUAGCCUUCAAAUAUUAAUUGCAUAUUUAAAAGUCCUCUAGUGUUUUUCCUUGAAUUUUGAAAUAAAAAAAAAAAACCCAACCCUUUAGCAUAGCCUCAAAUCCCCAUUCUCUGGAUUUCUUUUAUACCCAUUUCUUCUUGCUCAUUCUGCUCCAACCUUGCUAACUUCUUUGUGUUUCUUAAACAAACCAAACAUGCUCCCAGCUCAGGGCUUCUGCUCCUCUAGUUCCAUUGCCUGAAAUAAAAUCUUCCUCACUUUCUUCAAGACUCUGCACAAGUGUCCCCUCUUCACAGGGGUCUUCCCUGACCACCCAACGAAAUUAGUAAUUCUUCCUACCGCCAUCACUCUCUAGUUCUUUAACCUGCUCUGCUUACUACAGCCCAAUUACGUAAUAUGCUAUUUGUUUAUUUUUUACCGUCUCUCUCCCCAAUUAUUUUUUAUUUUUUACUGUCUCAAUUCCCUAGAUUGUAGGGCUCAUCAGGCAGAGAGCUUGCUUGUCCUUUACCAACUCCAGGGUAUACAACAGUGCCUGGACUCGAGGGGGUAUGGGAUACAUCUUUAUCAAAUGGUUGAGAGGAUACAUAUAAGGGGCUUGCCACCGUGUUGAAAAAAUAGUGACACUGCUGUUAUUUUUCUGCUGUUAUUGUUUAUUUAAUAUGUUAAUUUUUCUGUUCUUAUGUCACUAAAGAAAGAAUUGAACCUGUUGGAUGAAGUUGGGAAAAAGAAUUUCGAUACCAUCACCGAUGCUAAACAUUGUUUGAUUUUUUCCCCAUUUUUCUAGUCAUUUGCUUCUAAAGAAUAAGAAUAUUUCUGGAUUUUUGCAAAGAUAUUAGAAUCUUGAUUUUUCAAGUGUGGGCAAAAAUUCAAAUAAUAUACUAUAUUGAUAUUUAAAAUCAAGGAAGAAAUCCCCAACUUCACAAAUUGGUUGUUUUUCAUAACUAGGUUGAAUAAAUAUAGCUAUACUUUCAUAAGCUUUUUCUUUUAAAAUUGUUUUCUGUUUAUUGUUUAAUAAUAAUGUCUUUUGAAAUUGUAAGAUAAAAAUACUAACUAUGUUUCUUGGGGCAACUGAUAGUCAUUGACAGAAAUUUUUGGCUUUUACAUGACAAAAUAUCUGCACAAUUCUCUCACAAUCUUGUUUAAACUUUUACAAUACGGACUUGAGAAAAGUUCCCUAAGUUUAUUAAAGAAUUUUUGAAGAUGUAGUGUUUUCAGGAUAGACUGUCUUGUCUAAAUCUAUUUUUCUGAAGUAAAGCUUGUUGCUCUAUUUUUAUACAAGAACAAAAGACAAGAUGAAAACAAUAAAACUGUGGUUGAUUUUCA